rnacentral:rRNA from 1 species
CCUACGGGCGGCAGCAGUGGGGAAUAUUGGACAAUGGGGGGAACCCUGCUCCAGCGACGCCGCGGGAGUGAAGAAGUAUUUCGGUAUGUAAAGCUCUAUCAGCAGGGACGAAAAUGACGGUACCUGACUAAGAAGCCGCGUCUAACUACGUGCCAGAAGCCGCGGUAAUACGUAGGUGGCAAGCGUUAUCCGGAUUUACUGGGUGGAAAGGGAGCGUAGACGGUGCAGCAAGUCUGAUGUGAAAGGUCGGGGCCCAACCCCGGGACUGCAUUGGAAACUGUUGAACUUGAGUACAGGAGAGGUAAGCGGAAUUCCUAGUGUAGCGGUGAAAUGCGUAGAUAUUAGGAGGAACACCAGUGGCGAAGGCGGCUUACUGGACUGUAACUGACGUUGAAGCUCGAAAGCGUGGGGAGCAAACAGGAUUAGAUACCCUUGUAGUC